GUCUCGGUGGCCUAAUGGAUAAGGCUGUGGAUUCCGGAUCCACCAAUGCGGGUUCGAUUCCUGCCCGGGGCACCA
rnacentral:tRNA from 1 species